UCAAAUCAGCGUUUAAGGUACUCGGUA
rnacentral:piRNA from 1 species